rnacentral:piRNA from 1 species
UAAAAGAUUAAUGAUAUGAACGUGUUGUAGC